rnacentral:rRNA from 1 species
CACGUAGGGGGCAAGCGUUGUCCGGAAUCAUUGGGCGUAAAGAGCUCGUAGGCGGCUCAGUAGGUCGGGUGUGAAACCCUCAGGCUCAACCUGGGGACGCCACCCGAUACUGCUGUGGCUAGAGUCCAGUAGGGGAGUGUGGAAUUCCCGGUGUAGCGGUGAAAUGCGCAGAUAUCGGGAGGAACACCAGCGGCGAAGGCGGCACUCUGGGCUGGUACUGACGCUGAGGAGCGAAAGCGUGGGUAGCAAACAGG